rnacentral:rRNA from 1 species
GAUGAACGCUGGCGGCGUGCCUAAUACAUGCAAGUCGAGCGAACAGACGAGGAGCUUGCUCCUCUGACGUUAGCGGCGGACGGGUGAGUAACACGUGGAUAACCUACCUAUAAGACUGGGAUAACUUCGGGAAACCGGAGCUAAUACCGGAUAAUAUAUUGAACCGCAUGGUUCAAUAGUGAAAGACGGCUUUGCUGUCACUUAUAGAUGGAUCCGCGCCGCAUUAGCUAGUUGGUAAGGUAACGGCUUACCAAGGCAACGAUGCGUAGCCGACCUGAGAGGGUGAUCGGCCACACUGGAACUGAGACACGGUCCAGACUCCUACGGGAGGCAGCAGUAGGGAAUCUUCCGCAAUGGGCGAAAGCUUGACGGAGCAACGCCGCGUGAGUGACGAAGGUCUUCGGAUCGUAAAGCUCUGUUAUUAGGGAAGAACAAAUGUGUAAGUAACUAUGCACGUCUUGACGGUACCUAAUCAGAAAGCCACGGCUAACUACGUG